AGAGUUUGAUCCUGGCUCAGGAUGAACGCUAGCUACAGGCUUAACACAUGCAAGUCGAGGGGCAGCAUGAAAGGAACUUCGGUUCUUUUUGAUGGCGACCGGCGCACGGGUGCGUAACGCGUAUCGAACCUGCCUCAUACUCGGGGAUAGCCUUGCGAAAGUAAGAUUAAUACCCGGCGGUCUCGGAUGGCCGCAUGACUAUCCGAGUGAAGAUUUAUCGGUAUGAGAUGGCGAUGCGUCCCAUUAGCUAGUUGGUGAGGUAACGGCUCACCAAGGCAUCGAUGGGUAGGGGUUCUGAGAGGAAGGUCCCCCACAUUGGAACUGAGACACGGUCCAAACUCCUACGGGAGGCAGCAGUGAGGAAUAUUGGUCAAUGGACGAAAGUCUGAACCAGCCAAGUAGCGUGCAGGAAGACGGCCCUCUGGGUUGUAAACUGCUUUUAGUUGGGAAUAAAAAGAGGGACGUGUCCCUUAUUGUAUGUACCAUCAGAAAAAGGACCGGCUAAUUCCGUGCCAGCAGCCGCGGUAAUACGGAAGGUCCAGGCGUUAUCCGGAUUUAUUGGGUUUAAAGGGAGCGCAGGCGGCGGCGUAAGUCAGUUGUGAAAUCGUGCGGCUUAACCGUGCAAUUGCAGUUGAUACUGCGUCGCUUGAGUGCACACAGGGAUGUUGGAAUUCAUGGUGUAGCGGUGAAAUGCUUAGAUAUCAUGAAGAACUCCGAUCGCGAAGGCAUAUGUCCGGAGUGCAACUGACGCUGAGGCUCGAAAGUGUGGGUAUCAAACAGGAUUAGAUACCCUGGUAGUCCACACAGUAAACGAUGAAUACUCGCUGUUUGCGAUAUACAGUAAGCGGCCAAGCGAAAGCGUUAAGUAUUCCACCUGGGGAGUACGCCGGCAACGGU
rnacentral:rRNA from 1 species